rnacentral:tRNA from 1 species
GGCCCCUUCGUCUAGCGGUUUAGGAUACCGGAUUCUCAGUCCGAGGACAGGGGUUCGAGUCCCCUAGGGGCUACCA